GACGAACGCUGGCGGCGUGCCUAAUACAUGCAAGUCGAACGAACCGCGACUAAGUGCUUGCACUCAGUAAAGGUGAGUGGCGAACGGGUGAGUAACACGUGGGUAACCUACCUCAUAGUGGGGGAUAACAGUCGGAAACGACUGCUAAUACCGCAUAGGACAUAGGAUCACAUGAUCCAGUGAGGAAAGGUGGCGCAAGCUAUCGCUAAGAGAUGGACCCGCGGUGCAUUAGCCAGUUGGUAGGGUAAAGGCCUACCAAGGCGAAGAUGCAUAGCCGACCUGAGAGGGUGAUCGACCACCUUGGGACUGAGGCACAGCCCAAACUCCGGCGGGAGGCAGCAGUAGGGAAUCUUCGGCAAUGGACGGAAGUCUAGCGGAACAACGCCGCGUGAGUGAAGAAGGUCUUCGGGUCGUAAAGAUCUGUUGUGGGAGAAGAACAGCGCAUAGAGUAGCUGCUAUGCGUGUGACGGUAUCUAAACAGAAAGCCACGGCUAACUACGUG
rnacentral:rRNA from 1 species